rnacentral:lncRNA from 1 species
CUCGGCAGUAUGUGCGUAUGCUUAGUCAUUUCCAACUCUUUGGGGUCUCAUGGACUGUAGCCUACCAGGCUCCUCUGUGCAUUAAAUUUUCCAGGCAAGAAUACUAAAAUGGGUUAUCAUUUCCUUCUCUAGGGGAUCUUCCUGACCCAGGGAUUGAACCCUUGUCUCUUGGGUCUCCUGCAUUCGCAGGCAGAUUCUUUACCAGCUGAGCCAUGGCAGACCAAGCUAUGGCCAGAGAGUGGACAUGGACCAUUGCACAGGGAAUCAACGUGCAAAACUUUACCGGAUGUUUUUGGAGGAUGAAUAUAAAGUAGGAAGUCGAAGAGUUGAAGAGCAUGCUGGGCAUCUAUCAAAGUUUAUGAUGUGCCCCACAGGAGUCAGUAAGAGCUGGCCCGGGCUGUGUGUGCUCUGCAGUGGCCUUCCCUUUCUGUGAUCAUCCCUGCUGCAGAAGCCAUUACCAGAAUUUAGGAGUGAGAUGGUUUCUGGAGGGAAUUCUUCUGGAUAUGAAGUUAAAAUGUCUGAGUUGACCUGGGACUCUGACCCAGGCAGUGGGAGGAGCUUUCUCCAUCCUUCUGUCUGGAACAGCGGCUCCAACCUAGAGAACACGCUGCUCGUGUGCUCCACACUGACACCUCCAGGCAAGUCAGGCAACAGCAACCCUGCGAUGAAAGCAGCCUCCUCCUUGGCAUGA